rnacentral:ncRNA from 1 species
AAGGUUAGCACUCCCCUUGAUAAGGAUGGAAGAGGUCCCAGUGGCCUUUACAACACGUAGAUGGUUAAGGCAUUGCCACUUACUUCGUGGCAUCUAACCU